CACAUUGGAACGUUGUUAGGCAAUUGUCAAAGCCUCAUAUCUGCUCAUAGGACAUCUAUUCACAGUUUCCAGACACACUAGCACUUCGUGGUAAAGAUAUUAUUCUUCUUUACUUUUUGCCUUAUUUGAUUACACCUCCACAACAGCAACGUAAACUGGGUAAAACAGUUCCAAAGGUUUCGCACCAGCAGAAGCGCGAUGGAUUUAUUCUGCACGUGGAGACGGCAGGAGAAAUACUUCCAUCUCUUGAACGUCAACGACUACUCCUCACUGUAGUUCAUCUUUCCCUUCAACCACUUGUCGUUUUAGUCAGUCCCCUGGAGAGUCUAGAAUGAGUCUACGUGUAUGUUAAUGACUC